UUACGGCCAUAUCAUAUUCAAACACCGGUUCUCGUCCGAUCCCCGAAGUUAAGCAACGUUGAACCUGGUCAGUACCUAGAUGGAUGACCGGUCGGAAAUAUGAGGUGCU